rnacentral:rRNA from 1 species
UAAUACGGAGGGGGCUAGCGUUGUUCGGAAUUACUGGGCGUAAAGCGCGCGUAGGCGGCCAUGCAAGUCAGAGGUGAAAGCCCGGAGCUUAACUUCGGAACUGCCUUUGAGACUGCAUGGCUUGAACCCGGGAGAGGUAAGUGGAAUUCCGAGUGUAGAGGUGAAAUUCGUAGAUAUUCGGAGGAACACCAGUGGCGAAGGCGGCUUACUGGACCGGUGUUGACGCUGAGGCGCGAAAGCGUGGGGAGCAAACAGG